rnacentral:lncRNA from 1 species
AAGUUUUAUAGGUUCCUGUUGAUGCUCUGAUGGGGCUCUCACCCACAGAAGGGAUGCAGUGAUCAUGACCACGGAUCUGAUCAGACUCCAGCUCUGUAGCAAGGCUGUGAGAGGAGGAUGUCUGUCCAGCCUCUCCAAGCACACCUCAGAGAAGCCACGGGCCGUCGGGGAGCUGGGCCGCCACAUCCCAACCGGAACAGAAGUAGCCGUGAAAGUCAUCCCAAAGGAGGAGCAGAUCUUCUCCAGAGCGAGGGCACCUUUCUGCAAAGUCCACAGCCUGAAGGCCUUGCGUCACCCGAACAUCACCCAACACCCAGCCGUCAGGUUGUUUGAAGUGAUUGACACUGAGAAGAUGUUGUAUCUCACCGAGCACGUCCGCGGGGGAGACCUGUACCAUCACCUGACAAGCAUGGCCCUAUGACUGAGGAGGAGGCCCAGGGAAUGUUCCGGCAGCUGCCCUCGGCCCUCCAGUGCUGCCACCGCAAGGGCAUCGUGCACGGGGACCUGACGCUGGGACAGUGCUGCUUGACACUGGGCUCGGCAUGAAGCUGGCAGACGUGCUGCUCAUCACCAUGUUCCUGGGCCACAGGCUGAGCACGGGCCGCAGCAGCCCCUGGGGCACGGCCUGGAGGUCCUCCAGGGCGAGGACUAGGAGGGGCCCCUGGCAGACGUCUGGAGCCCUGGCGUGCCGCUCUACGCCGUGCUCUCCGGCUCCCUGCCCUUCCCGGGGAACAACUCCAGGUGGUACCCACCCGCCAUGCCCCUGCUGUGCGAGGACAGGAGGUUCCUGCAAAAACUGAUGACCUCGACCCCAGCACGAGGAGCUUGAGAGACAUCCUGAAGGACCAUAUGUGCUGGGUCACUAUGGGAGACCCAGGCCUUACAGGGAGCUGCCCUGCGACAGCGGG